rnacentral:rRNA from 1 species
CCAGACUCCUACGGGAGGCAGCAGUGAGGAAUAUUGGUCAAUGGGCGGAAGCCUGAACCAGCCAAGUCGCGUGAGGGAAGAAGGCCCUGCGGGUCGCAGACCUCUUUGGACGGGGAGCAAGGCCGCCGACGUGUCGGCGGAAGGAGAGUACCCGUAGAACAAGCAUCGGCUAACUCCGUGCCAGCAGCCGCGGUAAUACGGAGGAUGCGAGCGUUAUCCGGAUUUAUUGGGUUUAAAGGGUGCGCAGGCGGAUUUUUAAGUCAGCGGUCAAAUCGUGGGGCUCAACCCCAUCCAGCCGUUGAAACUGGCAGUCUCGAGUUGGAGAGAAGUAUGCGGAAUGCGCGGUGUAGCGGUGAAAUGCAUAGAUAUCGCGCAGAACUCCGAUUGCGAAGGCAGCAUGCCGGCUCCACACUGACGCUGAGGCACGAAAGUGUGGGUAUCGAACAGGAUUAGAUACCCUAGUAUU